UGAAGUGGUUAGAAUGUGUAGUGUAGCGGUGAAAUGCAUAGAUAUUACACAGAAUACCGAUUGCGAAGGCAGAUCACUAACAAUUGAUUGACGCUCAGGGACGAAAGCGUGGGUAGCGAACAGGAUUAGAUACCCUGGUAGUCCACGCCGUAAACGAUGGUUACUAGCUGUUUGGACUUCGGUCUGAGUGGCUAAGCGAAAGUGAUAAGUAACCCACCUGGGGAGUACGUUCGCAAGAAUGAAACUCAAAGGAAUUGACGGGGGCCCGCACAAGCGGUGGAGCAUGUGGUUUAAUUCGAUGAUACGCGAGGAACCUUACCAGGGCUUAAAUGUAGUCUGACAGCUUUAGAGAUAGAGUUUUCUUCGGACAGAUUACAAGGUGCUGCAUGGUUGUCGUCAGCUCGUGCCGUGAGGUGUCAGGUUAAGUCCUAUAACGAGCGCAACCCCUGUUGUUAGUUGCCAGCGAGUAAUGUCGGGAACUCUAGCAAGACUGCCGGUGCAAACCGCGAGGAAGGUGGGGAUGACGUCAAAUCAUCACGGCCCUUACGUCCUGGGCCACACACGUGCUACAAUGGCCGGUACAGAGAGCAGCCACUUAGUGAUAAGGAGCGAAUCUAUAAAGCCGGUCACAGUUCGGAUCGGAGUCUGCAACUCGACUCCGGAA
rnacentral:rRNA from 1 species